rnacentral:rRNA from 1 species
GCAGGCUGCAACUCGCCUGCAUGAAGUCGGAAUUGCUAGUAAUCGCAGAUCAGCAUGCUGUGGUGAAUACGUUCCCGGGCCUUGUACACACCGCCCGUCACACCAUGGGAGUCGGUAACACCCAAAGUUGGUAGUCUAACCGCAAGGAGGACGCCGCCUAAGGUGGGAUUGAUGACUGGGGUGAAGUCGUAACAAGGUACC